UACAAAACCAAAAUAUGCAAUUUGUUGGGGUCUCAAAUAGUUCAAAAUCUUUCAAUAUUGAAAACUGAUUUUAGAACUGAAACGAACCUAACCGUUCUUGCAUAAAUAAAGUUAUAUAAAAUCUUAUUUAUUAAACAUAUAUAUAAGGUUCGUUUAGGAUUAUUGUUAGCUUUUUUUUCUUUCAACCCAGCCGUUUCCAUCCCCUUCCGUCCAUCUUUCGCAUCUCGCAUCUCUCUUCUCUCUUCUCCAUCUCCCAUCUCCUCUGACCUCUUUCGUCUCCUCUACUUCCACCUCUUCCAUCUCCAACGCCACCUCGGCCGGCGUUCGAGACACUACCCAAUAUUAGUCCUUCCCAACAUCAAUUCAAAAUCCAGCAGGCGUAAGAUCCAUCUCUUCGAUCUCCACCACCACGCAUCUCUCAUAAAACUUCAAUCUUACGAAUUUGAAGAGGAGAUGGGAACAACUCCAGCAGGCGUACGAGAGCAGAGACUGACUACGGAGCGCAGGCGGGAGGUGAAAUGCAUAAUGAUUCAUUUGAAAAUUCUCCCUUUCCCAUGUUUCACAGAGUUCUUGGCACUAUCAUCUACAUAAGGUUUCUAUAAUUUUGGAAAGAAAAAAAAACACAAUAACCAAUUUCGAAAUCUAACCGAACCGAUGCGGUUCGGUUCGAGCCGCACAAUCGUUGUGGUUUGGUUUUGUAUACAAUUCCUAAAAAAAUUUCAGCCUGACCGAACCAAACCGUAUCUACCCCUACCUCUCAUGUCCGAGUAUUAAUUUUGUUCGGUAAUACUCUUCUUUCUUUUAAAUUGUUUUGUAAUUGAAGUGCAUUAUUGUAGGUAUAAUUCUAUAUUUAUUUUCAUGAAACCUAAGGAUGAAGAUGGAAAUAUUUACAAUUUUACAAAAUUUGUUUUGUAAAUAUAUAUUUUGGGAGCAAAUCUCUCCUCCCCAAUUGAAGUCACCACCAACGAGAGAAUGGCCACCGACUAAUUCAAGGAAAAUCAAGAUCACUCGGCUGAAAAGGAUCAGUUUUUUUCCUUCUUCUUUCAUCUUAUAUAAGCUUUUAUCCGAACAAUUCUCAAAUUAAAGGUGGAUAGGGAUUAGUCUUGAAUAAUUAUAUAUAUAUAAAAUAUCUUCAUUAUUCAUGAAACUUUUUGCUAACAAAUUGGAGCCAUUGGAUCUUCACAUUUCUCUUUGGACAAAUUGAAACCUCUGUGAUAUAAAUGAGACCCAUAAUUGAAGUUGGAUGAAUUAUAAAAUAGAGCUUUUUCUCACGAGAGACCUCUAUAUUUUUCAAUAAAAAAUAAAGUUUGUCACUUAUAUUAAAAUGUUGUGAAAUUAUUAUUUAUGGGUCUGAAAAUGGUAAAAAUUGAAGAGAGGUUUCAAAUAAGGUCAAUAACUGCAAACACAAGUGCUAAUACCUCCAAAGAGAUUAUUCAAUUGUGUUUUUUCUUCAUCAAAAGGUUCUAUAAUUUGUUUGUUAGUGAAAGUUUUAUCCAACUUGUUUAACAAGUAAUGUAGAUGUUCGGGUUAAGCAAAUAAGUAAAUACAAUUAUACUUGCAAUUAAAUUAGGAAACAUUUAUUAGAAUAAUGUUUAUGCAACGGAAAAAAAGGUAUUUUCAUCCACUCACCAACUCAUAUGUCCUUAAAUAAACCCUUUUUAUUUUUUGAGUAGCAUAUUUCAUAACUUAACUGUUUUCUAAGAUAUCAAUGAAUCAUAGGCCGCCUCGGUCCCUCCUCUUACCAUUUAUUUUAAUUAAUUCAUUUUUACUCUCUCUCUCUCUCUCUCUCUCUAUAAAUAACGCUUCACGCCCCCUCUCCCUCCAUCUUCAACCAUCUUUCUCUACGAUUUCAAUAUAUAUAUAUAUAAUAUAUACACACAUACAAUUCAGCCCCUUUCUAACAAUGGCGGCUACCCGAGAGCCCUUCAACCUUUUAACGCACUCCGCCGCUCCGACGGCCCUUCAUCAACAAUUACAACAUGAGCAGCUCUCCCCAAGGCAUUUCCCUGUUCCUUACUUAUUCGGUGGCUUGGCCGCUAUGUUAGGACUCAUCGCUUUUGCCCUUCUACUCCUCGCUUGCUCUUACUGGAAACUCUGCGGUUACCUAGAUGGCGGCGAUGCUACCAACCGUGAACCCGACUUGGAUGCCGGCGGCGACGACACCCAGAAACAAGCUUCCCCUGUUUUUGAAGAGAAAAUCUUGGUUAUUAUGGCCGGGGAAAUGAAGCCCACGUAUUUGGCUACACCCAUGUCUAGUAGAUCAUCUUCUUUUGUUUGUUCGUAGAAGCUUCAUCCAACUCUUUUUAACAUUUUAUGUAAUGUAGAAGUUAAAGUUAAUUUUAAUCGAUUUGUGUUUAAAUGGUGGUUUAA